AAAGAUAGAGGAGAGCGGCGAGGGUAAAACGAAGGGGGGUAGGGGUGCGCGGUGUCAUUGGGCGGAAAGGGGGUGUGGGCGGGCAGGGAAUUCCGCUGCGAAAGUCGGGGGCUCAGCCCUCGAAGGCCGGUGGAUAUUGUCAGGCGAGAGGGCGGAAGAGGCGGGUGGAAUUCCAGGUGUAGCGGUGAAAAGCGCAGAUAUCAGGAGGAACACCAAUUGCGAAGGCAGCUCGCUGGGACGUAACUGACGCUGAGACGCGAAAGCGUGGGGAGCAAACAGGAUUAGAUACCCCGUUAGUC
rnacentral:rRNA from 1 species